GUUAAAGAGAGCUUAUCCUAACCUUGUUGACCUCACAUGCUUAGCUCCUCUUUAUGAUUUCGAAAACCCUAAUGAUCUCUCACUAUAUAUUGUAACUCUUGUCAUUAAUAAUAAACAUACAGUUCUGAGUCUAUCUCUCUACAUUCAUACUCUCUUAAUCAUGAUUCUUACCUAAACUUGUCAUAAUCUCACAUUCUGUUCCUUAAUCUUCUCUAAAUCAUUUCAUUCUCUUAAUCUAAUAUGGUAUCAGAGCCAGGUUGCUCAUAUUCUGGUUUCUAAUCUCAUUAAUCUUCAGCUUCAUUUCAUCUACGGUUGUUCUUUAAAGCAUUUGGAAUGGAGGAAAGCAAGAGCAAGACUCUCUCGGUGGCGGUUACGUUGAAGGGUGGUACUAACUACCUGUUGUGGUCUCGCUUGGUGAAAGCAGCGGUUGGGAGCAAGGGUCUAUGGAGCCAUAUCUCUGGUGGAGCUCCAAGACCAGUUGCUAGAGAAGGAGAAGGCGGUCAAGAGCUGGUGGUGGCAGAUCAAGAGAAGUGGGAUCAGGAUGACUUGAAGGUGCUUACGGUGCUACAUGGGUCACUUGAAGCCUCGAUCUUGGAAGCAUACAGCUACUGUGAGACGCCAAAGGACCUGUGGGAGACACUCCAAAAGGUCUAUGGUAACACAUCUAACCUGAGCCGUGUGUUCGAGUUGAAGAGAUCAAUCAACACACUUGUGCAAGAGGAGGUGGAGUUUACUAAACACUUGGGAAAGUUCAGAGCCUUGUGGUCAGAGCUAGAGAUGCUGAGGCCCAACACCACUGACCAAGAUGUGCUCAUGGAAAGGAGAGAACAAGACCAAGUGUUCGGCUUGCUACUCACCUUGAAUCCGAUCUUUAAUGAUCUCAUCAAGCACAUCUUGAGGUCACCAAAGCUUCCCUCCCUUGAAGAUGUGUGUGCUCAGAUACAAAAAGAAGAGGGAUCAGUUGGGCUGUUCGGAGGCAAGGGGGAGCUCACACUUGCAAACCAAGCUGAUACUAUCCAGGCAAACAAGGCGGCUUACCGCACUGAAGAAGGGAAGUUUGGAGGGAAGUGUGACCAUUGCAAGAAGCAGGGCCACAAGAGGAGCCAAUGCUGGAUUCUGCACCCUCACCUCAAGCCAGCAAAGUUCCUGAAGGAUAAAGAAGCAAGGGUGCAUCUGUCUGAAGGGGCAAGUGAAGCUGCAACAUCCGGAGCUGGGCAGACAAUGCGAGAUGGUGAAGGAAAGGCCUUAACUACCCAACACACUCCGGGGAAGAGCACUGAUGGUGAGAUGAUAAGGAGAUCAGACAUUGAUGCCCUCAUCAAAGCUCUCAAGGAGAAUGGUAACUGUAUGAACUCUUCUUUAGGAUACUCUCUUGCUGCAUCCUAUAUAGAUAGAACUGAUGGAUAUCUAAGUCAUAGUAUUGAGACUACUAGAGCACCUAGAACUCUAAACAGCUUGAAUGAUUUGCCUAGAACCUUUGCAGCUAGUAAUGUGAUAAAACCAUUGAUUGUAGAUUCAGGAGCUUCUCAUCACAUGAUUAGUGACACUAGUUUGAUUAAAAAUAUCGAACCUGCUUGUGGAAAUGUGAUGAUUGCUAAUGGUGAUAGAAUUGCAAUUAAAGGAAUAGGAAAUCUAAAGCUGUUUGAUAAAGAGUCUAAAGCAUUUUAUAUGCCUGAAUUCACAUCUAAUUUAUUAUCUGUUAAAAGAUGUACUACUGAUUUGCAUUGCAAUGUUAUCUUUAGUCCUAAUGAUGUGAAGUUUCAGGAUAUUGAUACAAGGAAAAUGAUUGGCAAGGGAGUUACCAAAGGAGAGCUUUAUAUGCUAGAAGACAUAGCUCCUGUUUCCAAUUCAAGUUGCUCGUUUAGUUCUAUUUCCAGUUUGAAUAAUAAUGCAUUGUGGCAUGCUAGACUAGGUCACCCACAUGUUAGAGCCUUAAGCUUAAUGUUACCAGGUGUCAUGUUUAAAAAUAAUGAAUGUGAAGCAUGUAUCUUGGGCAAACAUUGUAAGACAGUCUUUAAGAAUUCAACUACUAUCUAUGAGAAAUGUUUUGAUCUUAUGCAUUCUGAUGUGUGGACUGCACCUUGCUUGUCUAGGGAAAACUAUAAGUAUUUUGUAACAUUCAUUGAUGAAAAAUCCAAAUACACCUGGUUAACACUCAUUAAAACUAAGGAUAGAGUUCUUGAGGCAUUUAAAAACUUUCAAGCUUAUGUAUCUAACCAUUAUAAUGCCAAGCUUAAGAUUUUCAGAUCAGAUAAUGGUGGGGAGUAUACAAGCAAUGCCUUCAAGCAACAUCUAGCUUCACACGGAAUCCUUCAUCAAACUAGCUGUCCCUACACUCCACAGCAGAAUGGAGUGGCUGAGAGAAAGAAUCGACACCUCAUGGAGGUUGCUGUGAGAUUUUCAGAGCACAGGUUGUGUGUGGGCGUGAUGAAUCAACCUCCACAGGUUGGGACUGAGUCUUGUGUCCACAAUGGAAGAGAAUAAAAGAGAGACUAAUGGAAGAAUAAGAAUGGCGUGAGAUUAAGAGACUUUGAGUGAGAGAUUGAGAGAUUAGAGAGACUGAAAGAUUAAGUAACCAGAGAAUAGAGUUUAGGAGAUUCAAAGUAACCAAAGACUUAGGAAGGAGAAGGGGAAAUCCCCCUUACUCACUUAGAGCUUACAAAUCGUCUCUGCCUCUUAUUUAAAUAGGACAGACUGUUUUCUACUAGGGUUUACAAUCAGAUACAUCACACAUGUGAAGUCAAACAAGGAGGAGCCUUAUUUUGAAUUCUAUGGACCAUAAGCUUCACAUGCUUGGCCAAUAGGAAGCUUGGGCGGUCCUGGUCUUUACACAGGCUGUCAUGAGCUGUCUUGUGGACUGAAUAAGCCAAUAGGAGUGAAGACCUUAUCCAUACACGGACAGCAUCUUGCCUGAUCCUUUCCAAGGCCAUCCAAGAUGCCAUUUUGAUCCCUUCUUCAUGUAUAAGGUCCAAACGAGUUUCUCCAUGCCUUGUGACCCAAGUCAUGACCAGACCAUGCUGUACGGACUUCCUGGCCGUACACAUUGUGCCCUAAGCUUGCACAUUCCUCAACUAUGCUUAAAUGGUCGAGAUGAUAAGCUUUGGGACGCCCUGGUCCGUACGGUCCGUACAGUCCGUACGGCCGUCCGUACGGAUCGCCCUAACUUUCUCAUUAACCAUUGCAGCCUAAACUCCUCCAAUGUUCUCCCAUGUCUGAUUAGAACCCUUCUUGGACAUUGCCCCAAUCUUGUAUCAGCUUCUCAUCACUUCUGAAGCUUCAUAGAACUCUUCUUAAGAUCUUCAAGAGCUUGCCCCUAUAUGUACAAGCUCCAUUCUUCUCUUCAGUUCAACAGUUGCAAGAUCAAUGAUGUUCCAAACAAAUGUCCCAAAUAGAUUCUGGAGUGAUGCUGUGAUCUCAGCCUGCUACUUGAUCAAUCGGAUUCCCACAAGAGUCUUGGAGGAUCAAUCACCAUUUGAAGUGUUAAACAAGCUCAAGCCAUCUCUAAGCCACUUGAGAGUGUUUGGAAGCCUUUGUUAUGUACUGAUUCCGGGAGAUAUGAGGAACAAGCUGGAACCUAAGAGUACUAAGGCUAUGUUUGUAGGGUAUUCCACUACACAAAGAGGAUACAAGUGCUUUGAUCCUCAAACAAGAAGACUCCUAGUGUCAAGAGACGUGAAGUUUAUAGAGACUAAGGGGUACUAUGUGUUGAACUGAAGAAAAGAUAGAAGGUGUUGGAAGAGUUUGGGAGAAGGUGGCCGAUGGUAUCUCAGCUUCACCUCUUCAUGGAACCGGUUUGAAGUCUCCCCCUCUCAACUGACUUCACAGCCAUCUUAGAGUAGCUAGGACACGGCCAGAUCAUCUUCAAAACACCAGUGAGGCUGAUCAACACUUCACACACGGCUUGCCCUCUUCAUAGAACUGGUUUGGAUCUCCCCCUCUCAACAGACUUCUCAGCCAUCUUAGAGAAGCUAGGAACUGACCAGGAACAUCUUUAGUGAGGCUCAAGCAAUGGUACCUGAUACAUUAUCCCAAAGGUGCAUCAGUACCUAUCAAAACCAAGAAAAUGAAUAUCCUGCAUCACACUUGAUGCACACAAUCUCACAAUUCAAUCAUAAUCAUUUUAAGUAUCUUUUCAAGCACAAGCAAGCAAUGAAUAAGAUGAAUGAAAAAGAUUUAAAGAAAGAGUUUUAAAAGUCUAAGGGAACUUCCCUUGUGUUUUUGUGAGUUUCCUAACUCGGCCAAUGCACCAUCUUCAUGGCAUCAUCAACUUCUUGGAAAGGCAGAAUGGAUUCAUCAGCUUCUCCUCAAUCACCUCUCAUUGAAGCCGCAUUGAUGGAGAGCCUUCUUCCUCACUCGCCAAGGCUGCUCUGAACAGCCUCUUGCCUAGACACGCCACUGACUUGGUCCGGUUGAUGAUCCUUGUAGAAGCCUUUGCAAAGACUUGUUACUGACCAUGGAUCAUAUGCAUUAAGACUCCCCCUCAAGCUUAGAACCUAGACUAGCAGGAGCUAAGCUUGUGAUGAACCUAUGCAUCUCCAUGGUCUAAUAACUAUCAUCUUUUUAUGAUAGCUUUCUUCUUGUGAGUUUUCUCUCUUCCUUAACCAGGAAUUAGGGUGUUUGAAUCACCAUAGAUAGUCUCACAAGACACCUCUCUCAUUGCAUAAUGACCCAUGCUACACUUCCUGUAGACUAAGGACUAGAUAUGUCCAAUGGUAUUAUGCAAUGGCCAUCUCUUAUUGCAUAAUCAAUCACACUACACUUCCUGUAGAUUAUGGACUAACAUGUCCAAGUGAUGAUAUGCAAUGGCACAAGACCUUUGUCUUUACAUUCUUGGUUGAUGGCUAGUUACAUGUAUCACUUCCCUUGUGUACCUAACACCACCACAACUCAAUGCAAGAUCAGAUCAUCCCAUUGGGAUCAAACCAAGAUCAUCCAUCCUGUUUGAUCACCAAUGCCACAAUAAUGUAUGAUAAAUUAAACAAGCUAGACAAUCAAGACAAGAAUAUGCAAAGACAAUGUAUGCUUUCAACAAUACACUGAUCUUUUUAGGUUUAAUUCAGUUUUUUUUUUUUUUUUUUUUAAAUGCAACACUAGAUGAAUGCAUUAGGUUACAUACUAACUAUAUGAAUGAAAAAUGAUUCAAUCCAAAUGAACACACGACUAGAUGACACUUAUGCAAUCAAGGCAAUAAGCGUGACUCAAUUCAUGCUUAUGCUCACUAGUUUUAUUAAGGCCAAUGAUUCAAGUAGCUUAGACAUACUUCUAAAUCCUACAAGACAUUAGAUGCUAACCAGCAGAUUUUAAUUUCUCUAAAUGCAAUGCAAGCUUACAUCAGUACAUUUGCAAUUUAGUUUCAUUUUUAAAUGCAUCAGUAUAUGAAUGCACAAUCUUAAAGCAUUAGCUAUAUGAAUGCAACAUGUUCAAUCCAUAAUUAAUAUUCAAGCUAUGCACAACAGUUUCAAUCAAAACCAAUGAUACAAGCAACUUAGACAAUUUCUAAUUGAUGCAAGACUGUCAUUGAUGGAUUAAACAUAGGCAAUAGCAUCAGAUAACAAUAGGAUUGAACUUAGACAGUAUGAGAUAUGCUUAUGUAUGCAAAAUAACUUAUCAAUCAGGAUGCAAGCAGCAGAGACAUUCUACUCAAUUCUACAACACAUUCAUGAUGAUUCAAGCUAUGACAAUAUCCAAGACAAUGCAAUAAACAGACCAUGAGAUUCUGGGACUCUAGACAUUACUUACUAUCAAUAAGACAAUGCAGCAGCAAAACAAUUUCAGUGCAAUUAGCCUAGACAUUCUACUAGAAGCUAUAAACCCUUAAUGGAAUGAGGGAAAGCACAUAGUAUAAUCAGAAGAUAAACCUAUCAAGACAUAUUAAGAUAGAUGAGAUUAGGUUUACUCCCUUGGUUAAGAUGAUGAGGAGUGGUUCUCAAAGUUACCACUUGAAUCCUUACUUCUUCUUCUUCUCUUAUUGCAAUCACCCUUCUGAAUUCACCACCAUGAUGGAAUGCUUGUGGAUGCUUCAGCUACUUCUUCAAUCACCUCACACUAGAAGCCGCCUUGAUAGAGUAGCCUUCUUCUUCACACAGCCAAGAGUGCUCUGUCUUAGUUUGAGCACCCUCUUGAAUAGGCACGCCACUGCCUAGACCCGGUUAGCUUCUUCUUCUGGUACUUGCAAUGUUAAGAAGAAGAACACCAGUGAGUUUUACAACCAUCUGUGCUUCUCCCUUCUUGUAACACCUCUCCAUUGUACACACAAUGGGCAUCAUUCUUUCUCUUUCAACUCGGAUUUGAUGUUGAACUAGGAACACCUUUUGUGAACCUGAAACAUCACUCAAACUCUAGCAAAGAUAAGACACAAUUGCAUUGGGAUCAAUCCUUGACUUCAUCAAGUUUGAUCACCAAUGUCUCAAGCUUUAUAACAUUAGAUAGAAUCAAGACAAUGUCAAGUUCUUAUCUAUGCAAGCAACCAUUCUCUAAAUACUAAGCAAGACCUUAUCAGAUUCAAGUCAAAGUAUUUAGGCAAUUUUAAACACUCCUUAAUAUGCAACUUAGAUUUUAAUCUAAAUGCAAUAAUACAAGGCAGCAACAAGGCAGUAUGCAUUAAUCCUAAUCAGUUUCUAACUCAUGAAAGCAAGCAUGAUUAGAUAAUAUAAUCUAUCAUCUUAGCAAAGACAAGUUUAUUUAGAACUGUCAUUAAUCAUUUAACCAUUUUCAAUAGUAUUAAUGUCAAAUCUUGAUUAAUAUAUUACCAAGUUUGAUUCCUACUAUCACAAGCAAUGCAACAGAUAGACACAAGGCAUUAUCAAGUUCUAUUCUUUGCAAGCUAACUCUCUAAGUACAAGCAAGAUCAUAACAGAUUCAAGACAAGUUACUUAGGCACUCUUAAGAGCUUCUUUACUCAGCACUUAGAAAUGAAUCUAAUGCUUCAAUGUAAGACAGCCACAAGACUAUAUGCAACAGCUUUCAAUUCAGUUUCAAUCAAUGUGUGCAUAGAAUCCUCACAGAACAAACCACACCACACAACACAACCAUUUAAUAAAGACACAAGCUUUAAACAAGGGAAGGAGGUUUAGCUUACAAGCAAGGAACCUGUGCUGGUUCCUUGAACCUCCAAGGCAACACGCAUCAUAAGUGGACAGGUCUGAGCUGUUGGUUUGAGACCCAACAUCUCCUUCUUUCCCUGGCCUUUCUCCUUGAACCCACCAUGCCAAAGACACUCCCUUUCACCAUGUUUGAGUCGCCACCAUAAGACCCAAGUAGAAAGCUUUCUUCUUGAAAGGUUCUUCUUAGACAGAGAAUAGGAAAGGCUUGGACAUGCUUCCAGUGGCCUUCUUUCUUCAGGACGGACAUGAGAGAGUGUAGAACGACCAAGGACAGCUUCUGGACACCAUGGAUGAGAACAUCUUCUUCUUGAAGAGGUUGAACAGCCAGCUGGACCAUGAAGCUUCUUUUUGGCUUGAAAUAGCAUGGGAGUGAGUUUGUGCUUGAGCGGAAGCUGGAACCAAGUUCUGAUGAACCUGGCUCUGAUACCAUGUGAGAUUUUCAGAGCACAGGUUGUGUGUGGGCGUGAUGAAUCAACCUCCACAGGUUGGGACUGAGUCUUGUGUCCACAAUGGAAGAGAAUAAAAGAGAGACUAAUGGAAGAAUAAGAAUGGCGUGAGAUUAAGAGACUUUGAGUGAGAGAUUGAGAGAUUAGAGAGACUGAAAGAUUAAGUAACCAGAGAAUAGAGUUUAGGAGAUUCAAAGUAACCAAAGACUUAGGAAGGAGAAGGGGAAAUCCCCCUUACUCACUUAGAGCUUACAAAUCGUCUCUGCCUCUUAUUUAAAUAGGACAGACUGUUUUCUACUAGGGUUUACAAUCAGAUACAUCACACAUGUGAAGUCAAACAAGGAGGAGCCUUAUUUUGAAUUCUAUGGACCAUAAGCUUCACAUGCUUGGCCAAUAGGAAGCUUGGGCGGUCCUGGUCUUUACACAGGCUGUCAUGAGCUGUCUUGUGGACUGAAUAAGCCAAUAGGAGUGAAGACCUUAUCCAUACACGGACAGCAUCUUGCCUGAUCCUUUCCAAGGCCAUCCAAGAUGCCAUUUUGAUCCCUUCUUCAUGUAUAAGGUCCAAAUGAGUUUCUCCAUGCCUUGUGACCCAAGUCAUGACCAGACCAUGCUGUACGGACUAGUUUCGUCUCAAUCGGAGUUUCCGUUGAGAUUUUACGGCGAAAACAAGUAAGACUCGUCUAAACUCCUUCGCUUGCUCCUACUCGCCCUUACCUCCAUCUUUUUGUUCUCCUUCAAAUCUCGAUCAAAACGUCUCUUUUUUCGUCUCGAUUGGAGUUACCAUUGAAACUUUACGAUAAAAAAAAAAAAACCCGCAAAGACUAGUUUUCUCGCGUGAAUUCAGAUUAAUCGUAUAAUAUAGCAACGAUUAACUUAACACCUUAGCCGCCUCAACUAUACGAUUACGUUGAACCUUUGGGACUCGUCUCGGCUCCCUUCCACUCGCUAUAGCGACCGAGAUGACAUCCUCACUCGCUAUAGCGACCUGUCAGGCCUCAAAGGGGUCCUCCUUUGCGUUCUCCUUUGAAUUCUCCUCGAAACGCUUUUCGUUUCGUCUCAAUCGGAGUUUCCGUUGAGAUUUUACGACAAAAAAAAGUAAACCUCAUCUUAAACUCCUUGACUUGUUUAUGCUCACCCUACCUCAGUCUUUGCGUUCACUUUCGGAUCUCGAUUGAAACGUCUCUUGUUUCGCCUCGAUUGAAGUUACCAUUGAGACUUUACGAUAUAAAUAAAAAAACCGCAAAGACCUAUUUUCUCGCAUGGAUUCAGAUUAAUCGUAUAAAACGGCAAUGGUUAACUUAACACCUUAGCCGCCUUAACUAUAAGAUUACGUUGAACCUUUUUACAAAAAUCGACGUCUUAUCUAAGGAGAAGAUAACAGUCAAGUUCGGAAGAUAAAUGUCAAGUUUCAAAGGAUAAACACCCAUACCGGAAAUGGCGAACAUACACGAGAAUAGGAAACGGAAAUGAGCACGCAAAAAUGAGACGGGACAAAACUGCAUCUUCGAGAGAACUAAGGUAUUUCCGACUUGAAAUUUUUGAAAUCAGACUUGGAAUUUUCGUAGGAAAUUACUUUGAGGCUGCCAUAGAACUUUAGGGAACGUAAAACCUAGGCGGAUAGUCUAGCGAACUAAGUUUUAAGCGAUUUUUCCUGUCACGAUAUAUUGUUCCAUAAUUAUUCAUCCAGAUCUUGCAAACCGAUCUAAACUCUCCGAAAGUCGAGAAACGAUCGCCAAGCAUAUCAAGCUCGCUUCCUAAAGAGAAAAAAAGUUAGAGACAUGAACGUCGUUUUAAAACCGAUUCGUUUCUGGCAAUUUUCUCGUAACCGACAUAUCCCAAGUCGUCAACGUGGAAACAACCAAAUCACAGUCCAAGCGUCGUCUAUAAAUCAUCCCGAAUUAUCGAUCAUUCCAAACAUCAGAAGAGGAAACGUACACAACCCUUCAAAGUAUCGGUUCAACCGUUUUCUUUCGUAAAAAAAAAAGGGGGGAGUAGGUACGUAUACUAUGCUCGUAUACUCCCAAACUUCAAAAAACUUCUGCAAAUCGUCAAGAAUAGGCAAACAACAAUCUUAAUAUUCGUCUAAACGCUAGCAACAUAUCCAGACGAUCAUGAACAUAAUCUCAAAAACUGUACAUCAUUUCUUGUCGCAAUCAUGCGUACAGAAAACUUGAAACUCGACGAUUAGCCAAAGUAUUGAAGCCUUUUCCGGCUUCAAUAAGCCAGUUUCGUUUUAAAAAUUUUACGAGAAAUCUUCAAUCACCAAAGCAUUUCUUUCAGUUUCCGUUGUACCAAGUAAGUCACGGAAAAGCAUCGAAAACAUUUUCGACGAAGAAGAGUCGAGAAUAGAUGUAGCAUCAUGCACAUUAAAAGGAACACUUUCUUCCCGAUGGUUAGCUAGAUCCACCUCUGGAUGACCAAUUCGUUCAAGAAACUAAUGUGUCAUGAGAAUCCUCUCGAAAAACCUAUGAAAAACGUUCUGCGACUAGAUCGUAUUGAAGUAAACUUCGGUAACACUCCAUGAGUAACUCCAAGCAACUUUCACCUAAGAUCAAAAUCACGGCGGAAACGUUUCUCGUAAAACCCGCAGAAACAAUGCUACUUUGACAUAUGUAUACAUAUCACUGAUUUACGACCUUCGUAAAAUCGGUUAUAUGAUAUGAUAAAUUAUCGUACAGCCCAUAGUCGGAAAUAGUAUGAUAAAUUCUUCAUAACGAAACUAAGUCCUAACAACCAAACGGUUAACGGAAAAUCUAAACUUUUCGAAAAUUGACCAAGUUCAAUACGCUCCACAAUUCACUUUAAGCCCGCAACGUUUUAACCAUAAUACGCGGCAUGUAAGGAAAAAUUCGUAACAAAGCUUCUAGAGCUAUACGAAACAUCCUAAAAAAUGCACGAAAUACAUCUCGGAAGGCCAACUCUUGACAAAGCACCAUGAAGGAAAACGCUUGUUCCCAUGGACAAAUUUACACGACAUCUCAGUCAUAAUUCCUCGAUCGCAAAUAAAACUAUUAGCAUCCGAGCAGGAACAACAAUUUUUGGCUGCGAACAUUCAUAGUCAAACCAGAAUGUUUCUCAAACACAGGGCCAAUACUAAACCCUCGCAACAUCGCGAAAUAUCUUCAAAGCCCGCGAACAUUUCAAGCACGAAACGUGGCAUACGAAAGAAUAACAAAUCUUCAGCAUCGCGAGACGUCGCGGACGCCUGAAGAUUAGUUCUUCGACGAAAUUUCCUUCCUCGAUAAAAACACUUUCAUGGAAGACCAGACAGUCAUACGCACUAACAUCUUCUCAAAACAUAUUCUUCGCGAAGACUCAAAAUAGUAAUUUUUACCAUUAAGUUUGUUGCUGAUCACAACAAACUCUCAACGUCCUAAACAGACUUAGCCAUCUCGUAGAAGAUGACUCUCUUACAUCCGACACAAGGAUAAUAGCGCUAUAAAAGAAAUCCGAAAUUUUGGUCCAGCACUUCCGGUCUCCGGAGAGAUGCUCGAUUCCAACCAUACAAGUCGUAUAAGCCGAGAACCUAUCGCGGACUUUAAAUCGGUAUGGAAUCAGGAUGAAACUGAAACGGGAUACGUAAGUCGAAUUAGUCAUCGCACCCUCUAAAACCAGGAGUAAACCUAGGUCUUGCCCUAAACCCAGCGCACUGGUCUCUAACAUCUCUAGGCAUAGUAUCAAACACCCUGAUACGAGAUCCCAAAAUUUGUCUCUUUGCCAAUAUUCGAAAGUCUUCAGAAAAAUCCCGCAAGUUUACACACUGCGGAAAACUCUCGAAACAGAUCAUGGAUAUGGCAAUUCACACAGAGUUAGAUUACGAGACGACAACUCGUAGUCUUCCCUCUACACCCAUACAAAAUGCCAUCGGCAGCAACACGCCUUAUAACCGCUACAUAAAAACUAGACCAUAAAGGUCCUACUGGAAAACUAGUCAUAAGAACCUUAANNNNNNNNNNNNNNNNNNNNNNNNNNNNNNNNNNNNNNNNNNNNNNNNNNNNNNNNNNNNNNNNNNNNNNNNNNNNNNNNNNNNNNNNNNNNNNNNNNNNNNNNNNNNNNNNNNNNNNNNNNNNNNNNNNNNNNNNNNNNNNNNNNNNUUUAAAUUUUUUAAAAUUAUAGAAAAUAUUUUUUUAUUUUAUAACUUUAUAAUAUUAAUUAAAAUAUAAUAUAUAUAUAUUUACUAUUUUGAUAAUUCUAAUUUAAAAUUUUUAUUGAAUAUUUUUAUUUUUGUAUUUAUAUUUUUUUUUAAAAAGAAAAAAAUUUAUCUUCCUGUAACCACCUGCAACCGCAAACACUAGUUGAAACCUACGUUGCACGGAAGCUUCAUCGGAUAUCCGCUUCCUGCUUCGAAAUCGAAAUUGGAAUCGGAACCUUGUGGAAGCUUUCGAAAUCUCGCUUCCAAAACGUUUCUAAAAUAUUUUCUUUAAAAACACGUUGGAAGCUUACGAUUCUGUUAUGGAAUCAAGCUUCCAUUCUUAAAAAAAUACAAUGUCUUAUAGCAAUAAUAAUAUAAAAUUAUAGUUUUUAAUUUUUUAUAAAAUCCAAAUUUUAAUAGUAUUGAAUAAAGAGAAUAGAAAUAUACAAAUGUUAAAAUUAACACUAUAAAUUAUCUUUAUGCAUUGAGGUUUUUAUUAAAUAUAAUCAUAUAUUCAAAUAUAUUAUGUCAAAUAAUUAUAAAGUAUUAAAAACAAUUAAUAUAAUUAAUUUAUUUUAAAUUUAAUUUAUGUGUAUUUUCACAGUUUUAAUAUGAAAUCAUUUCAAAAUUAUUAUAAAUAAAUAAAUACUUUAUUUUUAAUUUAAAUCAUAUAAUUUUUAGUUCUAGAUUUUUAAAAUCUUAUAUAUGUAUGUAUAUGGAUACGCUUCCAACACGUACCUGCUUCCUAAUAUUUUAAAAAAUCUCGCUUCCGUGCUUUCAUACGCUUCUGAUUCCACGUACCCGCUUCCGUUUCCAUGUAACAUAGGUUGAAACCCCCUUUUGAAUUUACAAAGUUUUGAACAGUUUGAAGCGGUUUAAAACUCUGAGUAAUUGUUGUAAAACGACAACAACCGUUAUCAACCGUAAAAGCUGUGUUUGCGGGUGGUAACGGAGAAACCACAGACUUUGGUGGUUCGGUUAGAUUUGUUCCGUAUAAAAACUGCAGUGAUAAUAUUUUGACAUAAGACAUCAAAAUCUUUUUUUUUGGGAACAAGACAUCAAAAUCUGGAGGAAAAUAAAAGGGGAAUUAGGACCUAUAGCCAUGAAAAAAACGUUAAUUAGGUCACUAGCGCUUUACCCUAACGGAUCGAUAUACGCCGUGAAAUAUACAUAAUAUUACUGUAAGACCCUCUCUAAUUUACCGGCUCACCUGCUAUGAGAAAAAAUUAUAAAUCAUUUUCUUUUAACCCCAAAUAAAUCAUGUCUCUUCCCUUUCCACACAACUUCCAUUCCCACUUUCUUCAUCUACGGUUCUUCCCCCUCCAUACGCUUCUCUCGCAAAUCUCCUCCACCCGCUCGCCUCCAUCUCCGUCGUUCUCGCUUCAGAUCGUCUCCGUCUUCUAUUUUGCUUCUCGGUGAAUAGUGCAAGCCCAUACCCAUUCCAAUUCCAAUCAUCGAUUCUUCUCAGAUCUCUUCAGUUACGUUACGUUUUCAGGUUUUAACCUUCGAUUCUCUUCAUCUCCUGUAAUUUUAUUUCAUAUUUGCGCUAUACUGAGAACUAGGGUACUCUUUUAGUAAAUCUACAGUCUCGUUGCCGUUGCGAAGUUCUCUAAUUGAUUUAGGGGUUGGGUGAUUUGGGGUUGGGGUUUCCCCAGCUGUUCUUAGUCUUUGUUAAAUUUGAAUUUUGUUUUCCUAGCGAAUAGCAUCUGCGAUAGAUAGGUUUGUCUGUGUUGACAUAGUAUGAUAUCUUUCGUUCCUAUUCUAUUUGAUAUGGUAUAGGUUAGCAUGCGUGUGAACAUAGUACGAGAUCAUUCAUUACUAUUCUAGUCGACAUGGUCUAGUAUAACUGUAUGUAAACAUAUUUUAUUUGAGAUAGAAUUGAGUGGUUGCUACUGCAGUAUUUUGUAUUCCAUUUAAUUUAUUUGCAUUAAGUAUUCUGUCCUAACCGUGUUUACCUCCUACCUUCAUCCUUCAGAUCUGGCAUGGACGAUUUAAACCUUGCGAGUAGAUUGUUUGAGACAGGCUUUGAACCCACUGGAAACAAAAGUUUUAACAACUAUUUCAACCUAUGUCAUCGCCAUGCCCAUCCGCACACGUGUGCUUCUACAUAACAUAUUUAUUCUGUUAGAGCACCUAUUAUAUGUUUCUAUUAUAUUUUGAUCAUGUAAAAUGAAAAAUCAUCUUAUUUGCAUUCAUGCUAUAAAUUGAAACGUUUAAUAUCACUUUAUUUUGCUUCUGAAUUCAUACAAAUUUAAUACUUGCGUAUUUUGAUAUAUGAAUUGGGGUUUAUAUUUUCGUGUAGGGUUUCGUGAUGAUUGGAUAGGGUUUAGUUUCUGGAAUAUUGGGAAAGCAUUACUUGUUUCUAUUUUGUUUGGAUAUGGAAUAGAACAUUUCUGAACUUUCAUAUCAUGUGUUCUAAUUUUGGUGAUAUAGAAUUGGCAUAUUACAUAAUAUAAUUUAAUAUAACAUAAUUUAAUUUAAUAUUACAUACCAUUAUGUAUUUUUUAGAUUUUGAUAUAUGAGUUUAGGGUUUAUAUUUGGGUUAGGAUUUAGUGAUUAGAUUUUAGGGUUUAGUUUUUAUCUGAUAUAGAAUAAAACUUAGAUGAUAUGGAAUAUAACUCUCGAUGCUUAUGUAUGUGAUCAAUAAAGUUAUACGUGGAUGGCUUUUUCUUCUUUCAAAAAAUCACAAAUACAUACCUCCAGUAUUAUAAGACGUGGAUUUAAUUUCCUGAAGGUUUGGUUUGCCUAUGUUUUGGGGUUUAUAUUUACUUAACUUGGGUUUAGGUUUAAUGUCAAGUGUUCUAUUACCAUCCCCAUUAACUUUGUAUUUCAUGUUGCUCAUGAGGACUGUAAAUACAUGUCUCCAGUAUUAUGGAAGGUGGAUUGGGGUUUAUGUUUCCCUAAUUUGGGUUUAGUGUUUACUGUCAAGUAUUCUAUUACCAUUCCAUUAGCUUUGUAUUUCAUGUUGGUCAAACAUGGAUCGACUGUGUACAUAGUACCAUUUUAAAUAGUACGGGUUAGAUAGAAUAGAAAUAUUCUCGUAAUAGAUUGUGCGACUGUGUAUGUAACUCUAUAAGACUUAUAAUCAUUAACUUACUCAUUUAUACUUUAGCAUAUGGAAUAGUUCGCCGCUAAAUAAAAUAGUAUACUUCAAUUUUUUUUAUUCGUAGUUGUUAAAUGGAAAUUAACUUUCUUUGUAGUCGUUAAAAAUAUAAGACGGUCUACUAUCAUUUUCUUUAGCUUAAACAUUGAUUGUGUCAAUGGUUUCUAUUUCUAAGUUGGGUUUAGUGAUUUAGUUCAUUAGUUUAUAUCUAAAUUUUCAGUGUUGCUGCUCUUUCAAUUGGAAUUGGAAUUACAGUGAUACUAUUCUACCCAAAUUAGUAUGGAACGCUUGUAAUCGGUAUAGAAUAUACGUUUCAUUAUCUUCUAUUUCGCCGUUUCAUUUCACGCGCUUUCAAAAUUCGCUCAUUAUUACUAUGGGUCACAAAAUCACCACGUCGUUUUCUUUAUGUGAAGAAACCGGAUACCUGUUACUAACAAGGGUAUAACCGGCUGGAAUGAUGGUAAAAAGACAGUCACUACAUUCUGUCAAAAUCAUGUCUAUUCUCUUGAUUUUCUUUUUAAAUAUGGCUAGUAAGCCAAUAAGCCCAUAAAAGGACGACCUUUUGAAAAGUAAGAUUUGUUCUGUAUAUACACUGCAAGUGAUAUUUUAUUUGGAAUCGAACCAACUUUUUUUAAAGUAAUAAAAUGUGAAACAUAUUGAUGGUUUUUCUUUUCUUUUCUUAUCGCUUUUUCAGUUAUGUUUUUACACCCAGUGUAAAUAAAGAAAUAAAUGAUUAACGUGUGGAAAACAUCACAAUAUUUUACUUUUCCUUUUCCACAACUUUUAAUUGACUUGUAUCUGUAAACAAUUCUGUCUUCGGAGCUUUUAGGUGUGAAUGCCAUCUUAUUUUCAACCAAAAGAAAAGGUUAAGGCCAUCGUAUUGGAAUUUUUUUUUUCAGAUACCUAUCAAAUCGAUAUGGACAAAACUGUAUGAUUCUUAUUUUAUGAAACCAAAUCUUUUAUUUUAUGUUGACUAAGUCUUCUCACGAUUGGCUAUAAGGUAUUUUUCUCACAAUUAGCUAGAAGAUUUUAAGUAAUAUAAACUUUAAAGGAUCAUCUCUUCCAUAACUUUUGAAGAUUCUACAUUAGAAGUAUAGCACCCCAGGUCCCCAACUAAAUGCUGGUUAUCUAGCUAAAUGACUACGUUUUUUGUUUGGUAAUCAUGUUAAAACAAAAAAAAAGAACAAAUCGUUACCGGAGUUAUCAUAUAACCUAUGUUGUUCUGGGUCUUAUUUCUACUUUUUUUUAUGAAUUUUAUGUAGGAACUCAUUUAUAGUCUGUGAUAUACGUUUAUAUGUAAUCUAUUUUUUGUAUAUUUGCAAUUUAUAUCGACAUAGUCUAUUGCAUGACUAAUUAAUUCGAAACAAAAUCGUGUGUGUAUUGCCUUUCAUCUGGCUAUUGGUUAGAAGAUGUUGAAAAUGAAAUAGAGACAUAAAAAAUCUUCAUCCCAAUACUUUUUCCAUAUUUUAUUUUCAGUCAAGAUUUUGUCCAGAAAGCAAAUGAGAUUCACAAAUCACACAAUGGUCCACUAAACAGAGUGCAUUUUACACAAAAAAAAACAUAAUUUAAUAAAGGAAACUAAACUGAAAACGAUGUCAACAAUUAAAUAAAUGUCCCUUUUGUCGAAAAAGAAUUAUUUUCAAGAGAAGCUUAAGUUAACCUCGUAAUAUCUUCUUUAUUAAAAGAGAAGUACUAUUUAGGGAAAAUUUGGAGAAAUACACUUAGAUAUGAUAUUAAUUUGAAAACUACACCAUUGUUUAAGUUUUUAGAAAAAUACACUUUGAUAUAUAUAAAUUUACUUAAUUUCUCAAUUUCAAUAUUUCUUAAUUAUUUAUCAUCAUAAUUAUUUUAUCCUCAAAGUAACGGUUUUAACAAACAGAUGUUUUCAAAAAAAAAAUCUUUAGAAUAUCCAAACAAUAUUCUUUUUGAUAUAUUAUAAACAUUUUACAUUUCUGAAAAAAAAACCUUCGAAACAAGUCAACGUUGUUGAGAAGAGUUGAAUAUACAAGUGUGAAGUACUAAGGGGUGAAGACUGAAGAGGGUAUGUUAAGCAUUGGUGUGAUGGGAGAGGUUCACAUUGGCCUGACCGUACAAGGCCGUACAAGGCCGUACGGUCCGUACACAUCCAGACAAGUGAAACCUCGACCGCGGUUACAAGAAGUUACCCGAGUAACUUAUGGGAGGAGAAGGAGCUUUGGCUGAUGAAUCAGACCGUUUGAGGAUAAGAGAGGCGCGGCUUUACAGGCUGGCACAGCUGGAAAGGCAAGAGCAUCUUUGUCCAAGAUCCUAGAUGCUCCAAGCAUGUGGGAACGCUGAUUGGCCGAGUUAAAGAGAGCUUAUCCUAACCUUGUUGACCUCACAUGCUUAGCUCCUCUUUAUGAUUUCGAAAACCCUAAUGAUCUCUCACUAUAUAUUGUAACUCUUGUCAUUAAUAAUAAACAUACAGUUCUGAGUCUAUCUCUCUACAUUCAUACUCUCUUAAUCAUGAUUCUCACCUAAACUCUUCAUAAUCUC
rnacentral:lncRNA from 1 species